UAUAAAAGAUCAUGAGACGCCACCAUGCGUUCUCUUUGCUGGACGAGCCUGAGAGUGUCAGGCACCUUUUGACCGACCAUGCCGGUUGCCAGAAGUUGGGUCUGUAGUAAGACCUAUGUCACCCCCCGCCGCCCCUUUGAGAAGUCCCGGCUUGACCAGGAGCUGAAACUCAUCGGGGAGUAUGGCCUUAGAAACAAGAGAGAGGUCUGGCGUGUGAAGUUCACUCUGGCCAAAAUCCGCAAGGCAGCUAGAGAACUACUCACCCUGGAUGAAAAGGAUCCCAAGCGACUAUUUGAAGGUAAUGCUCUCCUGAGGCGUCUGGUCCGGAUAGGUGUGCUGGAUGAGGGCAAGAUGAAGCUCGAUUAUAUCCUCGGCCUGAAAGUUGAGGACUUCUUGGAGCGGAGGCUGCAGACACAGGUCUUCAAGCUGGGCCUGGCUAAGAGUAUCCAUCAUGCCAGAGUGCUCAUCCGUCAAAGGCACAUCCGCCGUUUUGGUUCCACCUGAGCGCUUUAAAUUCAGCAAGGUCAAUUCGGUGACAAACCGUAUACCUUGUAAGACUGGUUGAUCCAAUCCUGUCAGUCGGGAUGAAGUCUUUACUCCCUAUUGGAGAUUUGGCAGUGUCCGCAAGCAGGUGGUGAAUAUCCCAUCUUUUGUUGUGCGCCUGGAUAGCCAGAAGCACAUUGACUUCUCACUGAGGUCUCCUUAUGGCGGUGGAAGACCCGGCCGCGUGAAGAGGAAGAACGCCAAGAAGGGCCAGGGUGGUGCUGGAGGCGCCGAUGAUGAAGAGGAAGAUUAAGCCUGAGAAUUUUCUGCAGUACUCCUGCAAACUUUUCAAUAAAAAAAUCUGGAAACCUGAAA